GCAGCAGGUGACAGCAGCCAUGGGGACUUGUUCAACAUUCUGGUUGUAGUUGUUUGCACCCACUUUAUAAUUAGUUCAAUUCUAGUUUGUCGUGCUCGUGGAAAAGUGUCAAGGCUCAAGCGCUGGCAUUAACAACAAAGUUGUAUUUUGUGGCUUGUGUUUUAGGGCAACCUCUAAACCCCCCCAAAAAAUUUUAAUCAGAGUAUCGUUGAACUCUGUACACUAUUUAACAUUUCAAUUAGUGUCAACAGUGUUUAGCUGGAAAAAGUUGAAAAUACAUAAAAAUAAUCUAAUCACAAUAACAUUUAAAAAUAGUUGUGUAUUUUAAACAUGUUAUUGGAGCCAGAAGUUAUUGUGCAGACACAAAUGGAGGAAGUUUCGAGCGAGCGGCUUGAUGUGCCCAUAGUUCGACCCUUAGAAUUGGAUAUCGAAUCAGACGAUGAUCUUGAUGACUUGUGGGAUGAGAGUGCGGUCGGAGUUGAUGGCAUGUUCGAUGAAUUUCAAAGAGAGCUGUUGGCAUUUAUUGAAUCAUCAAUUAUCCGGGACUCGACACAGAAUGACAGUUCAUAGUUGCGGUAUAAAUAAACUGAACAUUUAUGGAGUGAAACGUUAAAUAAAAAUGUAGCAGAAAGCAGUACUUGCAACAAGCAUGACCAGAACACGCAAUCCCAGUUACACAAUUCAGCAAAUCGUCAGAGCAGAUAGAAAGGCGGCAUCCACGUGACACAGAGGACACACAAACAUCAACAGCAACAGGACUUACAAAACAGGAGCGGGAGCACGACCAAAAAGCAGAAUGAGAAACAUGUACAUACAAUAACAAAUGGCAGAUGUAACAAUGAGAAUAACAGCGACGAAAAUAAAAGAAUACGUUGUGGAAUGCUUUAUAGUUUUCCGCUGUUA